rnacentral:lncRNA from 12 species
AUGGGACUCGGUGCAGUGGCCGCAGCCGUGUCCUCGCGGUGGGGCAGUGCCGGGGCUCCUGCUGCACCCAUCCCGGCCGGACCCCGGGCCCCUCACAUUUCCUCUUCUUCGCCGUUUCCUCUCUCCUUCCUCUCUUGCCCUCCCCCAGGGGCCAUGGUCCUGGGGGGGCCGGGGGGCCCCGGAGCCGGCCUACUCCUCCUCUGUCUUUGGCUGCCUCCUCCUGCCGCCCCCGCCCCCGUCACCAGGGGCUCCGAGGGCCCCGAGGGGCACGGGGGGCGUCGGGGGACACGCAUCCCAGACCGGCUUUCUCUCCAGAGGCUGCGGCUCCUGAGCCUGGGGGCCCGGCCGGGCAGAGAGGUGGCCGCGGGGUGCUGCUCGCCUGCCCGCGACAUUCAUGGGUGCUGGCCGGGUGCCCGGCCCCCCCCGGGGCGAGUUGGGAGGCGAUGGGCAGGAGUAGGGUGGCGGUUAAGGGUCCUGGGCCAGCUGGUGCAGGGGACAGUGGGCGCGUUGGGGUUCCCGCUCAGGCUGCCGCAUGGUGCCCUCGCGUUCUCCUUUCUAGAAGGGAAAACGGCGCUCUGGGCGCUCCUGGCGGACCCGGGAAGGCCGAGGAGUCGUGUGCAGACUUCCAGCCCCAGAAGAGCUUCGGGGCCCCCGGGGGCCUCUGUGAGCCACACGGGGCCUGGAGGGGGUGGGGGUGGGGUGCCUGUGCGUGCGAAGGCUCCCGACGCGAACCCGCCCCGCCGAGCGCGCCAGGCUGAGGACGCGGAGAACUUCACUCCUGCCUUUACGGAGCCAACACUUGCAGGCGCCCGUUCUACGCCGGGCACCGCGCUAUGGCCUUGCAGGCGUGAACCCGGUCACCUUCGCAGCGAUCCCAGGCCAGGCGCCGGGUCCGCGUCCCCUUCCUACAGGUGGGGCAACCUCGCAGAGCGUGAGGAGGCCAGCACGGAGCCGGCCCAAGUCAGGCCGGGCAGCGGGGGCCGCGGUCAGCACGGCCUCCCGACCCAGCCCCCCGACCGCUCCCCUCGGAGGGCAGCCUCCGUCCACCCCGGCCCCUGCCUCCGGUCCUGCCCAUCCCCUCCUGGGCCCGUCACCUUCCCGAGGGCCCCGAGGGCUGCUGGCUCCCGGACACCCCAGCGACCCUGUCCCCUCGGCCCGACUGUUGACAAGUGUCCUGCUUCUUCAGCCCCGUGGCUGCUGUCCCUUCAAGGGACCCGGUGGCUUCUCUGAAAGAUGCCAGCCCGGGGGGGUCACACGUGGGGCUGAAGGGUUGGGGGUCCGGUGGCCUGGCACCCGAGGAGCUGCUGUCGGGGCGGCUACGGGGCCCCAAAGAGCAGCUUGCUGCCCCUCCGGUGCGAAUUCAAAUGUCCACCUGGGACACCGGGCAGAUUUAGGCAGGCGGCUUCGAAAUUGGGCCCCAUUAGCGCAACGCGCUCCGCGUGGCAGAUGAGGGGCUCCUGCAAUCACGCACUCAGCCCGUCCUGAUGGUGGUGGCAGGAGCAUAAUUACCGUCUCCUUAAAUAGCCCAAAGUUGCCGUGUAAGAGAAGACGGCUCACAUGACAUUUGCUCGGAGCUCAACUCCUGCUAAAAAUAUCCGGGCUAAAUAAUAUUUCCUGGAUGCCUCGGAGCAGCAGGCCCUGACCCGGGCUCCGUGACACCGGGGGCUUGGUCCAGGGGCCGCUGUGGAGGGGGUUUGCUUCUGGAAGCGGCGGUUCGGGGUCCCGGGGGCGGGGGUGUCACUCUGUGCAUCCCUGAACUGCUUGCGACAGAGACGGUCGCGGGCCUGGAGGGUGCACGGCUGGGUGUGGCGUGGAGACGGCCAGCCCUGCGGUCCUGACUCUCCUGGGAGGUCCUGCGAGGGCUCCAGGGGGUCUGAGGACGAAGGUGGGAGGGCGUCUGCAGCCUCCAGCAGGCGCCUCAGGCCCCGCAACCCCCCCAGAGAGACCCCCGUCUGUCCCACGUCCCCGUGUUCACCCUGGGGUCUGGGGGGUGGGCCUGGCAUCCUACCUCCUGGGGACGUUCCUGCAGCUUCCGGGGCGGCCCUGCUCUGGGCAUCUGCCUCCUUCUGGCCCCCACGGACGGCAGGGGCUCCUCUGCAGGUUUGGGGGUGGCCUGUCUCUCCUGCCCAUCAGGUAACAUCACGUCCCUGCUGGGAGUGUGUGACCCCGUGAGCCCCUGCUGAGGCCUCUGCACCACCUCUUGACUACGUACCUGCAGCCGGGCUCGCUCCUUCUUUCCUUCCUUCCUUCCUUCCUUCCUUCCUUCCUUCCUUCCUUCCUUCCUUCCUUCCUUCCUUCCUUCCUUCCUUCCUUCUUCCUUCCUUCCUUCCUCCCUCCCUCCCUCCUUCCUUCUUUCUUUCUUUUUAAAAACAGGCUCCACACCCAGCACAGAGCCCAAUGCAGGACUUGAACCCACAACCUUGAGAUCAAGCCCUGAGCCGAGAUCAAGGGUCGGACGCCCAGCCGACUGGGCCACCCAGACGUCCCAAAGUGCGCAUUUCCCCGCAUUGCGUGUCCCUCCCCAUUCCAGGGCCAUCCCAGCCAGACCCAGAGGUCUCGUGUCACAUCCCAAAGCGGCGACCUGGUCUGGUCACGCGGAGGCUCGCACUCGGAGGAGCCCAGGAUCCCACGCCGUCCCGACGAGCCGCAGCAGGGACCUGGGGCUGUCGUCCACCCGGUGGCUGCGGUGCUCCGGGUCCCGCUCGGUGUCCUGAUGGCGGCACCGGCUGUCCUGGCCUUUGCCGAAGCCCUUUCUUCCUUGGGCCCCUGACGCCAGCUGGCGUGAGAGACGUGGGAGGCAGAGCUGUGGGGCCGGCGGAACGUGGGUCUUUGCCACUUGCUCCCCUGGGCUGGGCAGUCCUGGCAGCCCCCCCCCCCGAGGAUGGCCAAGGGGUCCCGGAGGCACCGCCAUGCACAACGGUUUGUUGGCCCCGCAGCAAUGCCGGGAGGCCCACGAAAUGUCGGGAAUGGGGGCUUCCUAUUGGGUGACCCUGAGCCUGGAGUCUGCUGAGGGCACUGCCCGUGCCCUGGACACUGGAGGGCUUGCUCCGGGGGUGGGGGGUCACCAUCAGGGCGCGCCCAGGUAACGUCCCACCAACCCCCUUGCCCGGGCCCUGUGCUCCUUCCUCCCUGUCGGGGCCGCACUGGCCUCACUCCUCCGUGGUGACGUGGCCACCGGCUCUGGGGUCAGGCUGCCCAGGGUGUGGGGAGGGGCACAGCAACCCCAGCUGGCUGCGGGGCCCUGGAGUCGCUGAACCCUGUGGAGCCUCAGUGUUUUCAUCUGCGAGAUGGGAAUCCGGGUCCCGGAGGGAGGCCUGGAGAUCACGGGCUGGGAGCUUCGCGGCGUCCCCGACACGCCACGGGCCAUUUCCAUUUUGCCCCCCGGCUGUCUGGACGGGCUCCAGCUCCUCGGGCCGCGCGUGGGCGGGUCAGGCCAUGCGACUCAUUUCUUCACCCGGGACGUGCUCCCGCAGACGAGGUGCGUGUCCUCUGUGCCGGGACGCGGCGCCCACGUCUUGAAAGGGGUUUUCGGUGAAAGCACGGCUAGCAGACGACCCGGUGUUCGCAAAACCACCAGGAGCAAAACCCAUUGAAAUCCAGCGUAAGGAAAUACACAUAAUUCACAAAUGAUGUCGAUCACUUUCAUCUUCGACUUCACAACUGUCCUCAAUAGAAGACAGACGCGAAGGAGAUUCAACGCAGAUGUUAACAGCGCAAGAAUGCCCCGUUACCAGGAUAUGAUGUCUCGGUGCUGCAUAAAAAUGUAAUUAUAUUCAGAACUAUAUUUAAAGAUUAAAAGGGGGACUGCCUACCACAUCUAGCCCCAAAUUCAGAAUUAGAAACAAAGGGAAAAAGCGGGGUGGGGGAUGAGCUCACACGGUCGGCCAAGAAUGGAAACGUUUCUUGAAAGUUUUUACACGUUUCGGCCGUCUUUAUUUUAACGGUUUCCUGCAGCGUCGACAUGGAUGUUGGAACCGGAGGGCAGGAUCCGCGCCUCCGCCUCCGCCUCCGCCCGUGGGUGGGUGGGCAGGAGGGCCCGGCCCGGGCUCGGGAGGGAUCGGAGUCGCCAGCUCCCGUCCCUGCUCCCCGGGGGCGUCCGGCCUGGAAGGGGAGGGAAGAAAUGUCCAGCGGGUUCUGAGGGAGGGCAGUCGGCCGCCCCCGGGGGACGGGCCCGGGGCCAGGUGGCGGCCCUCGUCCCGCCCGGGCUUUGAAGCGAGCGUGGGUUCUCGAUAGGGACCUAGUAAAUAAAAUGCAAAAAUAGCACA